GAGAGAUCUUCUCCCCCAAAGAAUUCGAAUUUCAUGGAAAAUAUGGGUUUUGAUGGAGCUUGAAGCCAUGGGAGCUUGAAGCAAGCUUCUCCCUUCAUUCUAGGUGUACCUAGGGACUGUGAACGUUUGGAUUCUCGUGGAGUAUGAUAAGUAGCUUGUUCUUCAAGUAAGCAGAUUGUAAAGCUCAAAGAGGAAGUGAGCCCAGGGUAUGGAGGGUUUUCCAUAAACCUGGAGUUUACUAGAGAUUCGUCUCUAACCCCGUUUGGGGAUAUGAUUUCAGGAACACAGUUAAUUGAAGAGCC